rnacentral:rRNA from 1 species
GACGAACGCUGGCGGCGUGCUUAACACAUGCAAGUCGAACGAAGAACCCGGAGCUUGCUGGGUGGAUUAGUGGCGAACGGGUGAGUAACACGUGUGUAACCUGCCCCUGACUCUGGGAUAAGCGUUGGAAACGACGUCUAAUACUGGAUAUGAUCACCGGCCGCAUGGUCUGGUGGUGGAAAGGUUUUUUGGUUGGGGAUGGUCUCGCGGCCUAUCAGCUUGUUGGUGAGGUAAUGGCUCACCAAGGCGACGACGGGUCGCCGGCCUGGGAGGGUGACCGGCCACACUGGGACUGGGACACGGCCCAGACUCCUACGGGAGGCAGCAGUGGGGAAUAUUGCACAAUGGGCGAAAGCCAGAUGCAGCAACGCCGCGUGAGGGAUGACGGCCUUCGGGUUGUAAACCUCUUUUAGUAGGGAAGAAGCGAAAGUGACGGUACCUGCAGAAAAAGCACCGGCUAACUACGUGCCAGCAGCCGCCGUAA